GAUGAACGCUGGCGGCGUGCCUAAUACAUGCAAGUCGAGCGAACGGACGAGAAGCUUGCUUCUCUGAUGUUAGCGGCGGACGGGUGAGUAACACGUGGAUAACCUACCUAUAAGACUGGGAUAACUUCGGGAAACCGUAGCUAAUACCGGAUAAUAUUUUGAACCGCAUGGUUCAAAAGUGAAAGACGGUCUUGCUGUCACUUAUAGAUGGAUCCGCGCUGCAUUAGCUAGUUGGUAAGGUAACGGCUUACCAAGGCAACGAUGCAUAGCCGACCUGAGAGGGUGAUCGGCCACACUGGAACUGAGACACGGUCCAGACUCCUACGGGAGGCAGCAGUAGGGAAUCUUCCGCAAUGGGCGAAAGCCUGACGGAGCAACGCCGCGCGAGUGAUGAAGGUCUUCGGAUCGUAAAACUCUGUUAUUAGGGAAGAACAUAUGUGUAAGUAACUGUGCAUAUCUUGACGGUACCUAAUCAGAAAGCCACGGCUAACUACGUG
rnacentral:rRNA from 1 species